GGCAGCAGCUCAAAUUUGAAAUCCGGCGCCCCCCGGCGCCCGAGUUGUAAUUUGUAGAGGGUGGCUCGGGCCCGUCCCCGUCCAAGUCCCCUGGAACGGGGCGUCGUGGAGGGUGAGAAUCCCGUACGCGGCGGGGCGACGUGCCCGUGUGAGCCCCCUUCGACGAGUCGAGUUGUUUGGGAAUGCAGCUCUAAAUGGGAGGUAAAUUCCUUCUAAAGCUAAAUACCGGCCAGAGACCGAUAGCGCACAAGUAGAGUGAUCGAAAGAUGAAAAGCACUUUGGAAAGAGAGUCAAAAAGCACGUGAAAUUGUUGAAAGGGAAGCGCUCACGAUCAGACUCGGGCGCGGGUGCUCAGCCCCACCGGGUGCAUCGCCCGCGCCCGGGCCAGCAUCGGUUCGGGCGGCCGGAUGAAGGCCCCGGGAACGUGGCUCCUCUCGGGGAGUGUUAUAGCCCGGGGCGCAACGCGGCCCGCCCGGACCGAGGACCGCGUUCGCUAGGAUGCUGGCGUAAUGGUCGUUAGCGGCCCGUCUUGAAACACGGACCAAGGAGUCUACCAUCUGUGCGAGUCCUAGGGUGCGAAACCCUCGGGGCGCAAUGAGAGUGAACGGAGGUGGGAACGUUUUCGCGCACCAUCGACCGAUCCAGAAGUCCUCGGACGGAUUUGAGUAAGAGCACCGCUGGUGGGACCCGAAAGAUGGUGAACUAUGCGCGGAUAGGGUGAAGCCAGAGGAAACUCUGG
rnacentral:rRNA from 1 species